rnacentral:misc_RNA from 1 species
GGGCACAACGUAUCGGGAAUUUUGUUGCAUAAAUUGGGCGACACCCCCCGAGAAAAUUUGUCCGUUGGUAAUGCGUGACACGAUGUGGCCACUGUGUUAGGAGGUUCGACGGUUCGACUCGUAACGCGCUACGCACGGAGCGGGUGGGCCGUGCUGACUGAGGUGGUGGUGCUAGUGUUUUGUGGUGCUACUGAGUGCAGCGCACCCGCACCAUAGACCGCACUCACCGGUUUUGUCACCUGUGCGUUCGUUCAUCGUAUGCAUGGCUCAGCCUGUCAACAGGCUGGUAUUCCGAGUGAAUGGAUAACGGGAUAACAAGUGCCUUGCUUAGUGCAUAAUUCGGGCAGCAGGAAUGGCGUUCAAGCAGUGGCGCAGAUUCAAUUUCUUCGACAAGGAGGUGGUGCGGGAUGGUGACAAGGCGUUCGACAAGCUUCAGGAGCUGAGCGUAACAUGCAGCGCAAGCGGCCGAGGCCAGCUGGUGUUGGGGGAGGUUGGCGGUCAUGUGGUGUGCGUGAGCCGACAGCUGCAGCUGACCACAUUCCGCGCCUACGAACUCACAGUCGAACUGAUGCAGCAAAUGCGCAACCACGCGCUGCUCGUCACGCUCGGAGCAGACGAAAGCGGCGUCAACCCGCUGGUUAAGGUGUGGAACCAGGACAAGGUCGACAAGCAUGGUGUGCCCCACUGCUGCCGAAUUGUUCGAGCUGCAGCUGGUACUUCACCGUCACCGGCCAAGUCACUUGCUGUGGAUGAACGGCUGACGCUGAUGGCUGUUGGCCUGGAAGAUGGCCGCUUGCUGCUGUAUCGUGGGGAUGUGACGCGGCAGCAGAGCCGUCAGACUGUGGUGCCCCUGGAGUCUGGGUCAGUGAAUGCGCUGGCCUUUGGCGGGGCCAGCCAGCUCUUCGUGGCCACGGCCACCCAGGUGCUGUCGCUGGUUCUCGGUGCACAUGGGCAGCCUUCCAAGCAGCUUGUUUUGGACGCCCAUGGCUGUGCUCCACAGUGCGCUGCACUAAGCAGUGAGGGGGAAUUCAUCGUUGCUCGCCAAGAUGCCGUCUACUUCUACCACCCGGAGGGCCGUGGUUCCUGCUUUGUCUUUGAGGAUGAAAAGUUGCUGCUGCGUUGGUUUCGCACGUACCUAGUCCUGGUGGCGAGAGAUGCCAAGACGGCUAGGAGUGCUGGUGGUCCAGAUAAAACAAUAGUUACCAUCUAUGAUAUACAGAACAAGUUUGUAGCCUACUCAGCGGCCAUCCCUGGUGUGGUAGAUGUGAUGGCCGAAUGGGGCUCCCUCUAUGUGCUGGUACAAGAAGGCAAGCUAUUUUGUCUCCGUGAGAGGGACACCCAGAGCAAGCUGGAACUGCUUUUCCGCAAAAACCAGUACUCACUGGCCAUCAGCUUAGCGCGGAGCCAGAAAUAUGACCAAGAUGGUUUGGCGGACAUCUUUCGGCAGUAUGGUGACCAUUUGUACAGUAAGGGUGACUAUGAAGGCGCUGUGCAGCAGUACAUACGCACAGUGGGCAAGCUGGAGGCUUCGUACGUCAUUCGCAAGUUUCUUGAUGCUCAACGUAUUGGUAACCUGACCGAGUACCUGCAAGAGCUGCACCGCCGAGGUUUUGCCAAUGAGGAUCACACCACACUCCUUCUCAACUGCUACACCAAACUUGAAGAGGAUGACAAGCUCACCAGCUUCAUCAUGACGGAGGACGUGGCCUUCGACGUGGAGAUAGCAGUGCGGGUGUGCCGCCAGGCAGGCUACUUUGCCCAAGCACGGCAUCUGGCCAAGAAGCACGGUUGCCACGACCUGUAUCUGCACAUUCAGCUGGAUGAUUGCAAAGAUUAUGCAGAUGCCUUGCAGUACAUCAGCCAGCUGGACCAUGCACAAGCGGAGGGCUACAUGCAGAAAUAUGGCAAGGCGUUGCUGGACGCGAUCCCGGCUGAGACGACCCAGCUGCUUAUGCAACUCUGUAAUGAACGCAGUGGAAGUUGGCCGCACCGGUCACAGCCAGAAGAUUUCAUACACAUCUUUGUGAACAAUUCAGAGGAACUACUGCGGUUCCUGGAGCAUAUGGUCAAUGUGCAGCCAGAUUCAUCUAGCCUCGUGUACAACACGCUGCUGGAAUUGCAUCUGCAAGCCUACAAGCAUGAGGAGAAUCCAGAGGCACGGCAGGCUCGGGAACAGCACAUCAUGGAGAUGCUGCGUAACAUGCAGUCACGAUACGACCUUGACCAGGCCCUGGUGCUGUGCCAGAUGAAUGGUUUCAAGCCAGGCAUCCUGCACCUUUACGAGAAGGCCAAGCUGUACCACCAGAUCCUCGCCUACCAUAUUGACCAGCAUGACUAUGAUGGUGUGAUCAAGUUGUGCGAGAAGUUUGGUAUCUAUGACCCCAACCUGUGGAUUCAAGCACUUGGCUUCUUUGCACGGGCUGAGGGUGCUAGUCAACACCUGGCCACUGUGCUACAGCAUAUCCUUUUGCUAGGAACUUUCUCUGGCCGCACAGGUGGAAAAGGGGCGCCUGCUGCCGCCCGUGUUGGUGGUCGAGAUGACGCGGCCAGCACCACUGUCAGCACUGCGGGACUACCUAGUACGGCACUUACAGGCCGAGAGCCGACAGCUGGAUGAGCAUCAGCGGCUCAUCACCCAAUACCGCCAGGAGACUGAACGUGUCCGCCAGGAGAUGGAUGACCUGCGCAAUGGCCCACGCAUCUUUCAGGACGCAAAAUGUUCAGGCUGCAACCACCAGUUGGAAUUACCCUCUGUUCACUUCCUCUGUGGCCACUCGUACCACCAACAGUGUUUUGAGAACUAUGCUGAGAAUGACACGGACUGUCCUGAAUGCCUGCCACAGCACAGCAAGGUGCUGGACAUCCUGCGGUCGCAAGAGCAGGCACGAAACCUCCAUGAGGACUUCCAUCAUCAGCUGGAGCGUUCAGAGGAUGGCUUCUCGGUGGUGGCCGACUACCUGGGCCGGGGCUUGUUCCAGCGACUCACGCUUUUGGCACCAGCCACAGCAGCAGCAGCAGGCCCACCAGCAGCAGAAUUGAGGGCAGCCAGGUCUUGAUCACAGCCCAUGUGCUGCAUGUAGUAAAGUGUGGUGCAUAUCACUA